GACGAACGCCGGCGGCGUGCUUAACACAUGCAAGUCGAACGGAAAGGCCCUGCUUGCGUGGGGUGCUCGAGUGGCGAACGGGUGAGUAACACGUGAGUAACCUGCCCUUGACUUUGGGAUAACUUCAGGAAACUGGGGCUAAUACCGGAUAGGAGCUCCUGCUGCAUGGAGGGGGUUGGAAAGUCUCGGCGGUUGGGGAUGGACUCGCGGCUUAUCAGCUUGUUGGUGGGGUAGUGGCUUACCAAGGCUUUGACGGGUAGCCGGCCUGAGAGGGUGACCGGCCACAUUGGGACUGAGAUACGGCCCAGACUCCUACGGGAGGCAGCAGUGGGGAAUAUUGCACAAUGGGCGGAAGCCUGAUGCAGCAACGCCGCGUGCGGGAUGACGGCCUUCGGGUUGUAAACCGCUUUCGCCUGUGACGAAGCGUGAGUGACGGUAAUGGGUAAAGAAGCACCGGCUAACUACGUG
rnacentral:rRNA from 1 species